rnacentral:piRNA from 1 species
UCCUGCAAUGAUUGAUGAUCACUCCGUGG